ACGUCUGUCUUUGGGGAGUAGCCGGCUUCCGUUUAACGGAAGCGCUCAUGUCAACACACUCGGUCACCUCGACCGUGGCAUGAGCAGCCAUCAGCGCUUUAAGGUUGGCAAGACCAUCGACAUGUCAGCGCGACCCGGCCGGGCGUGCGGCAUGUCGUUCGUCAUGCCCGGCCAGAA
rnacentral:sRNA from 2 species